UAGGGAAUCUUCCACCAAAUGGGCGAAAGCCUGAUGGAGCAACGCCGCGUGUGUGAUGAAGGGUUUCGGCUCGUAAAACACUGUUGUAAGAGAAGAAUGACAUUGAGAGUAACUGUUCAAUGUGUGACGGUAUCUUACCAGAAAGGAACGGCUAAAUACGUGCCAC
rnacentral:rRNA from 1 species